GCUCCAAUAGCGUAUACUAAAGUUGUUGCAGUUAAAAAGCUCGUAGUCGAAUUUGGGCUCGAUUUGCAAGAUGACUCAACUGAGUCUUUGGCAUUUCGGGUCCUGUUUUGUCAUCACCGGACUCGCUCAAAACUGGGCAGUUAGAUAGGUGACAUUUUUUUACUGUGAACAAAAUAGAGUGUUCAUGGCAGGCCUUUGGA
rnacentral:rRNA from 1 species